rnacentral:misc_RNA from 1 species
GAUGAAGAACGUAGCGAAAUGCGAUAAGUAAUGCGAAUUGCAGAAUUUCCGUGAGUCAUCGAAUCUUUGAACGCACAUUGCGCCCAUUGGCAUUCCGUGGGGCAUGCCUGUUCGAGCGUCAUUUACCCCCUCAAGCUCCGCUUGGUGUUGGGCGUCUGUCCCGCUUCGCGCGCGGACUCGCCCCAAAGGUAUUGGCAGCGGUCGUGCCAGCUUCUCGCGCAGCACAUUGCGCUUCUCGAGGCACCGGUGGGCCCGCGUCCAUCAAGCUCACCCCCCCAGUUUGACCUCGGAUCAGGUAGGGAUACCCGCUGAACUUAAGCAUAUCAAUAAGCGGAGGA